AGAGCGAACGCUGGCGGCAGGCCUAACACAUGCAAGUCGAACGGACUCUUCGGAGUUAGUGGCGGACGGGUGAGUAACACGUGGGAACGUGCCUUUUGGUUCGGAAUAGCUCCUGGAAACGGGUGGUAAUGCCGAAUGUGCCCUUCGGGGGAAAGAUUUAUCGCCAUUAGAGCGGCCCGCGUCUGAUUAGCUAGUUGGUGAGGUAAAGGCUCACCAAGGCUACGAUCAGUAGCUGGUCUGAGAGGAUGACCAGCCACAUUGGGACUGAGACACGGCCCAAACUCCUACGGGAGGCAGCAGUGGGGAAUCUGCGCAAUGGGCAAAGCCUGACGCAGCCAUGCCGCGUGAAUGAUGAAGGUCUUAGAUUGUAAAAUUCUUACGACCGGGACAUAAUGACGGUACCGGAGAAGAAGCCCGCUAACUUCGUGACCAGCAGCCGAC
rnacentral:rRNA from 1 species